rnacentral:rRNA from 1 species
AGAUUGAACGCUGGCGGCAGGCCUAACACAUGCAAGUCGAGCGGUAGAGAGGUGCUUGCAUCUCUUGAGAGCGGCGGACGGGUGAGUAAUGCCUAGGAAUCUGCCUAGUGGUGGGGGAUAACGUUCGGAAACGGACGCUAAUACCGCAUACGUCCUACGGGAGAAAGCGGGGGACCUUCGGGCCUCGCGCCAUUAGAUGAGCCUAGGUCGGAUUAGCUAGUUGGUGAGGUAAUGGCUCACCAAGGCGACGAUCCGUAACUGGUCUGAGAGGAUGAUCAGUCACACUGGAACUGAGACACGGUCCAGACUCCGUACGGGAGGCAGCA